UGAAAACUUUAUUUGAUUAUAAGUUUUGAAAUUUUUUGAUUCAAAUAAUAAUUUGAAAAGAGAAUGAGACGCCACCCUAGUUUUUGUUUUUAUUUUUAUUUUUUUGUAAUUUGUAAUUUCUCUUAGGCUUAGUGGUGAAAAGUUUUUUAACACUGCAAAUCUUUGUAUCAUCUACUAUUUGGUGAUCGCUUAUGUUGUUUAUGAAGCCACUGGCUGUCUUAUUAAAACCUAUUCCUAGGCCUACAUUGCAAAAGUGUGUUGUGUGAGAAGCAGGCUGUAAUUUCCAAGUUGAAUGCUUCUGUUAUGUCUUGCUCUCAGUAAUUCACAGACAUUUGGAGCACCACUUCACUUUGCAAAUGUCAAGACCAAAAAGAAUCUGUGUUCGUGAUUGAUGAUGCUUUAGUUAUUGACAGGCUAUUUGUUGUGAGGAAUAGCAAAACCUUGUUUACAUAUCAAUCUAUAUGCAUGUGUAUGUUAGCAGUGACCCAACUGUUGACUGCCAUCAAACCAACCCUUGCCAUGGAGUGCUGGGCAUGAUAUUGUGAAAGAACAGAGCCUUGUAUAGGAAACACCUUGCCUGAGAGAUUUAUAUGCCCAGGUGAGCCAAUCCUUUUCCUUGACAAUCAAAAAGCUUGAAAUGUGCUUAAAAAAAAGAAAAAGAGACCAAUUUCCAGCCAUUUGGCAUUUCUAACAACCUAUGUGAGGGAAUAGGCCUUUUGAUGUUUAAUUUUGUCAAUUAAUUUGAUUUAUCAUAUGGUUAUUCAAGAAGGACAUUAUCAGCUGCAUUCAUUCAUGAAUCACGUCCAACAUUGAUGCUUGUUGAGUUAAUAGGCCUUUUGUUCUAUGGGUACACAUUUCAUUGUGGCUGGCUCAUAUAUAACUUUGGGAAUUUGAAUGUUUUGAGGAGCUUAUUUGGGUGAAGACAAAUCAACUUCUGCGAAUAAUCUGAACUGGGCAAACAGGCCAUUGGCCUGUGGUAAGUAGCAUUGCCUUUUUGGAAUAAAGGAAAUCCAGUAGUAAACAUGAAUAUUGAUACUGAUGUCACACGUGAAUGCCCGCAUCUUUCUUGAUUUUAUGGCUUAUGGUUGUAUUGUUUUUCUUCCUCUUCUUUUUUUCUUUUUUCUUUUUUCUUUUUUCUUUUUUUGUUAUGAAGAUUGUUUAUUGCUAUUGUAUUCUUAUGGUUAUUAUUGUUGCCUUACUUCACUCGAAUAUUCUAGUUCUGGCAUUAUUGAAGUAAAGUUGAGUUAAUGUGCAUGCCCUUUUGCAGUUGUGCCUCAUGCUGGAUAGGACAGAUCCAACUAAAAGAAAGCUGGAACUGUUUGCUCACAUGCAUAACACUCAUGCAGGCUUUUCAAAAAUGAUCUACAUUUGCUGAUCUUUCAAUUAAAUCAGUGCACACAUCAAGAAGAAUCCAAUGGAAGCC